UACGUAGGGGCCUAGCGUUGUCCGGAUUUAUUGGGCGUAAAGAGCUCGUAGGCGGUUCGGCAAGUCGGGUGUGAAAUCUCCACGCUCAACGUGGAGGGGCCACUCGAUACUGCCAUGACUCGAGUCCGGUAGAGGAGUGUGGAAUUCCCGGUGUAGCGGUGAAAUGCGCAGAUAUCAGGAGGAACACCAAUUGCGAAGGCAGCUCGCUGGGACGUUACUGACGC
rnacentral:rRNA from 1 species